GACGAACGCUGGCGGCGUGCUUAACACAUGCAAGUCGAACGAAGUGGCGAACGGGUGAGUAACGCGUAAUCAACCUGCCCUUAAGAGGGGGACAACAGUUGGAAACGACUGCUAAUACCGCAUACCGAGGGAGGGUGUUGCGGCGGAUUCGAUAGUUGGCGGGGUAACGGCCCCCCAAGGCGAUGAUCAGUAGCCGGGCUGGUAGUAUGAACGGCCACAUUGGGACUGAGAAACGGCCCAGACUCCUACGGGAGGCAGCAGUGGGGAAUCUUCCGCAAUGGACGAAAGUCUGACGGAGCAACGCCGCGGGAGUGAUGACGGCCUUCGGGUUGUAAAGCUCUGUUAAUCGGGACGCGGUACCGGAAUAGAAAGCCACGGCUAACUACGUGCCAGCAGCCGCGGUAAUAC
rnacentral:rRNA from 1 species